rnacentral:rRNA from 1 species
UACGGGGGGGCAAGCGUUGUUCGGAAUUACUGGGCGUAAAGGGCUCGUAGGCGGCCAACUAAGUCAGACGUGAAAUCCCCAGGCUCAACCUGGGAACUGCGUCUGAUACUGGAUGGCUUGAAUUCGGGAGAGGGAUGCAGAAUUCCGGGUGUAGCGGUGGAAUGCGUAGAGAUCCGGAAGAACACCGGUGGCGAAGGCGGCCUGCUGGGCAGUAGCUGACACUGAGGCGCGACAGCGUGGGGAGCAAACAGG